AGAGUUUGAUUCUGGCUCAGAUUGAACGCUGGCGGCAGGCUUAACACAUGCAAGUCGAGCGGAAACGAAGGUAGCUUGCUACCAGGCGUCGAGCGGCGGACGGGUGAGUAAUGCUUGGGAAUCUACCGAGUAGUGGGGGAUAGCCAUUGGAAACGAUGAUUAAUACCGCAUAUAUCCUACGGGGGAAAGCAGGGGACCUUCGGGCCUUGCGCUAUUCGAUGAGCCUGAGUGAGAUUAGCUAGUUGGUGGGGUAAAGGCCUACCAAGGCGACGAUCUCUAGCUGGUCUGAGAGGAUGAUCAGCCACACUGGGACUGAGACACGGCCCAGACUCCUACGGGAGGCAGCAGUGGGGAAUAUUGCACAAUGGACGAAAGUCUGAUGCAGCCAUGCCGCGUGUGUGAAGAAGGCCUUCGGGUUGUAAAGCACUUUCAGCGAGGAGGAAAGGUCAGUAAGUAAUAUUUGCUGGCUGUGACGUUACUCGCAGAAGAAGCACCGGCUAAUUUAGUGCCAGCAGCCGCGGUAAUACUAAAGGUGCAAGCGUUAAUCGGAAUUACUGGGCGUAAAGCGCGCGUAGGUGGUUUGUUAAGUUGGAUGUGAAAGCCCAGGGCUCAACCUUGGAACUGCAUUCAAAACUGACUCACUAGAGUACGAGAGAGGUUAGUGGAAUUUCCUGUGUAGCGGUGAAAUGCGUAGAGAUGGGAAGGAACACCAGUGGCGAAGCGACUGACUGGCUCGAUACUGACACUGAGUGCGAAGCG
rnacentral:rRNA from 1 species